rnacentral:rRNA from 1 species
UACGAAGGGGGCUAGCGUUGCUCGGAAUCACUGGGCGUAAAGGGUGCGUAGGCGGGUCUUUUAAGUCAGGGGUGAAAUCCUGGAGCUCAACUCCAGAACUGCCUUUGAUACUGAAGAUCUUGAGUUCGGGAGAGGUGAGUGGAACUGCGAGUGUAGAGGUGAAAUUCGUAGAUAUUCGCAAGAACACCAGUGGCGAAGGCGGCUCACUGGCCCAAUACUGACGCUGAGGCACGAAAGCGUGGGGAGCAAACAGG